CGAGGCCAGGGAUUGAACCUGCAUCCUCAUUGUUACAGCAGUGUGCAGUGCCCAGAACGAUCUACCUGAGCUGCAGGCAUGUGUGUACCGUAUGGCAGGUACGCAUGUCACUAGCUCGUCGCAAGCACUCAUCACGUUGCACUCGUACGCUGUGACCAGGUGUGUUCCGGAAUCACGGUAGAAUCUCAGUGUGAGUCCAUUGGAGAGAGAUUUUUUUACUGCUGCGUGACCCUGGGAGAGUCCCCUAGGCCGAGGUCCUGGUCUGUAAAAGGGAGACUGCGUGAUUAUUGAGAGAAGGUGGCUCUAAAGCAUCCCCCGAAGCCCCUCACAGAGUUCACCCCGCCUGGUCUCACCUUGCCCUGAGAAGCUGGCCGAGCUGGGCUCCAGCCUCCCACUCCCCAGGAAGGGAAGAGUCUGGAGCCCGUGGUGGUCAAGGGUAGCUGAGAGAGACUUGUCUGCGGGGAAGGAGCUGGGAGGCCCAGUGGGGGCGGGGGGCUGCCUCUGUGGGCUCCCUGCCUUCCCUCCCUCCUGGCCGGGGCUCCUUCCAGGGCUCUGCUGAUUGGGCACCAGGACCAGGGCCUUACCCUGGCUCUCCCAGGGACUGGGGCCAGGACAGGGCACAGGAAAGCCUGGGGAAGGGCAGGACUGGGGCCUCUGGGCCUGCCUUCUCCAGAGCUGUCUUCCCUCAGGGGCAGCGGGCCCUCCAUGGACCUCAGGGGCCCUGGGGUUGCUCUGCCUCCUCCCGGACCUGUGGCUGUGCGCCAGCCCAGAGCUCGGCUUCCUCCCCUGGGUCUCCCAUGCCUGCUGCUCACUCAGGGCUCCUCCUGCCUUUCAACUUCUGCUCCCACCACCACCUCCAGCAUUGUCUCCCUGUCCCCAGUCCAAAUUCCUGGGCAGAUCAGCUGGCCAGCUGGCCUGCUUGGGCAACGACUCAAGCGCAGCCAGGCCGGCAGCACGGCCAGCCCACAGGCUUGUCCCCACGGGUGGGCCGCCCAUCCUGCCCUGUCCUGGCCAGCUGGGGCUUCGGUGAGGUCAGGGCCAUCCUGCUUUGAUUCCCCGGGAAGGGAAGGGGUAUGGGCAGCAUGAUGGAUAUGUCCACAUCCCCUCUCCUUGCCUGAUGCUCCGGGCAACACCUCGGCUCGCCCCCGGCACCCUCCUCCUCCCCACCUUGGCGCCUUUGCGCACAGCUUGCCUUCUGCCUGGAGUGCUCCCCCCUCUGUCCUCUCAGCUCAGGUGCCACCUCCGCCACGGAGUCCUCCCAGGUCACCACAAACAUCACCUCUCCUUUCAUGGACCACUGCAUCCUCUGCCCCACUUUGUUGCAUGAGUGUGGCAGACAGAGUAACGAUGCUCCAGAGACGUCCCUGUCCUAAUUCCUGGUCCUGUGAAGAUGUGACUGUGCACGUGGAGAAAGGGACUUUGCAGAUGCCAUCAACUUACGGACCUGGAGAGGGAACGUAUACUCUGGAUUAUCCAGGAGAGCCCAAGGUAACAAGUGCCUUUAUUUUUUUUUUUUUCUUUUUCCAGCCACAAUUGUGGUCUAUGGAAGUUCCUAGGCUAGGGGUCAAAUUGAAGCUGCAGCUGCUGGCCUACGCCACAGUCACAGCAACGCAGGAUCUGAGCCACGUCUAGGUUGGGUUCUUAACCCGCUGAGCCUCAGCGGGAACUCCCACAGGUGUCUUUAUAAGAGGGAAGCAGGAGGGUAAGUGAGUCAGCAAAGGAGGUGUGAUGACAGAAGCAGAGGUGAGAGAGCCACAUUGGAAGGCAGAGGGAAUGGCCACGAGGCAGGGACAGCGGGUACUUCUAGAAGCCGGAAAAGCCGAGGAAACAGAUUCUUCCCUGGAGCCUCCAGAAGGAACCGGCCCUGCCAACACCUUGAUUUUAACUCACGGGGCUCAUAUCCGCCCUCUGACCGCCAGGCCUGUAAGAGAAUAAACGUGUGCUGUUUAGAGCCAUGAGACGUGCAGCAUUUUGUUACUGCAGUGGUGGAACAGAGACAAUUAGCACCCGUUGGGUUGCGCCUUGGCUGGGAUGUCAGCUCCUGGGAAGGCCUGUGCCGUGGACAUCUUUACACAUCCUUGUGCAUAUUUAUAAAAUGCCUGCUUACGACUGCGUCC